UACGAAGGGGGCUAGCGUUGUUCGGAAUUACUGGGCGUAAAGGGCGCGUAGGCGGCCUGCUAAGUCGAACGUGAAAUCCCCGGGCUCAACCCGGGAACUGCGUCCGAUACUGGCAGGCUUGAAUCCGGGAGAGGGAUGCGGAAUUCCAGGUGUAGCGGUGAAAUGCGUAGAUAUCUGGAGGAACACCGGUGGCGAAGGCGGCAUCCUGGACCGGCAUUGACGCUGAGGCGCGAAAGCCAGGGGAGCAAACGGG
rnacentral:rRNA from 1 species